rnacentral:miRNA from 1 species
UGCCGCCCUCUCGCUGCUCUAG